rnacentral:rRNA from 1 species
AAGCGCUUGUGACCAGACUUGGGCCCGGCUGAUCAUCCAGGGUUCUCCCUGGUGCACUCUUCCGGCCCAGGCCAGCAUCAGUUCGCCCCGGGGGAAAAAGGCUCCGGGAAUGUGGCUCCCUCCGGGGAGUGUUAUAGCCCGCGGCGCAAUACCCUGUGGCGGACUGAGGUUCGCGCAUUCGCAAGGAUGCUGGCGUAAUGGUCAUCAGUGA